UGGGGAAUAUUGCACAAUGGGGGAAACCCUGAUGCAGCGACGCCGCGUGAAGGAAGAAGUAUCUCGGUAUGUAAACUUCUAUCAGCAGGGUAAGAAAAUGACGGUACCUGACUAAGAAGCCCCGGCUAACUACGUGCCAGCAGCCGCGGUAAUACGUAGGGGGCAAGCGUUAUCCGGAUUUACUGGGUGUAAAGGGAGCGUAGACGGCGAAGCAAGUCUGGUGUGAAAACCCGGGGCUCAACCCCGGGCCUGCAUUGGAAACUGUUUUGCUUGAGUGCCGGAGAGGUAAGCGGAAUUCCUAGUGUAGCGGUGAAAUGCGUAGAUAUUAGGAGGAACACCAGUGGCGAAGGCGGCUUACUGGACAGUGACUGACGCUGGGGCACGAAAGCGUGGGUAUCGAACAGGAUUAGAUACCC
rnacentral:rRNA from 1 species